AAGUCGUAACAAGGUUACCGUAGGUGAACCUGCGGUAGGAUCAUUUCCAACAAAAACUAUACCAACCCACGUGUGAUCCGAGAUUGUUAUUUACUCUUCAUCGGCGCGUGUGUGUGUGUUUGCGCACCGCACCGCCCGAUGGAGAGGCCUUGUUGAACUACCUUGUCAAAAGGUUGAUUGCUGUCGUUUUUGGCUUACACAAAAUCCAAAAUGAUCAGACAACUUUUAACGGUGGAUCUCUUGGCUCGU
rnacentral:misc_RNA from 1 species